CUGCAAAUAUUCUUGCUAUUCUGAUUUUGCAAUAAUUGGAACAGACUGAACAUUUGCUACACUAAGACCAGGCAUGUGUCCUCAGACCUAGUUCUUUCCCUAGGUCUGGUUUUAUAAAUGCUGAUGCUAAAU